rnacentral:snoRNA from 1 species
UAUUUUUAUAGUUCAAAGAGCAAUCUCUGCUAGAACCACUAUGCAGAUAUUAGAAGGAAUUCUGAUUAAAUCAAAGGA